UAAGGAAUAUUGGUCAAUGGACGCAAGUCUGAACCAGCCAUGCCGCGUGGAGGAUGAAGGUCCUCUGGAUUGUAAACUUCUUUUAUCUGGGACGAAACACUUCUUUUCUAAGAGGCCUGACGGUACCAGAUGAAUAAGCACCGGCUAACUCCGUGCCAGCAGCCGCGGUAAUACGGAGGGUGCAAGCGUUAUCCGGAUUCACUGGGUUUAAAGGGUGCGUAGGUGGGUAUGUAAGUCAGUGGUGAAAUCCCCGAGCUUAACUUGGGAACUGCCAUUGAUACUAUAUAUCUUGAAUACCGUAGAGGUAAGCGGAAUAUGUCAUGUAGCGGUGAAAUGCUUAGAUAUGACAUGGAACACCAAUUGCGAAGGCAGCUUACUAUGCGGUAAUUGACACUGAGGCACGAAAGCGUGGGUAGCAAACA
rnacentral:rRNA from 1 species